UACAGAAGCCUCAAGCGUUACCCGGAAUCACUGGGCGUAAAGGGUGUGUAGGUGGUGUGAUUAGUCGGGCGUUAAAUCCUGGGGCUCAACCUCAGGACCGCGUUCGAAACGGUCACACUUGAGGUAGUGAGAGGUGUGUGGAACUCACGGUGUAGGGGUGAAAUCCGUUGAUAUCGUGGGGAACACCAAAAGCGAAGGCAGCACACUGGCACUUACCUGACACUGAGACACGAAAGCGUGGGUAGCGAAUGGG
rnacentral:rRNA from 1 species